rfam:TPA: Bos taurus chromosome 27, whole genome shotgun sequence.
UUCCCGGUGGUCCAGUGGUUAAGACUCUGCACUGCCAAUGCAGGGGGUGCUGGUUCGGUCCCUGGUUGGGGAA